rnacentral:rRNA from 1 species
AUUGAACGCUGGCGGCAGGCCUAACACAUGCAAGUUUGCGAGCGGCAGCGGGAAAGUAGCUUGCUACUUUUGCCGGCGAGCGGCGGACGGGUGAGUAAUGCCUGGGAAAUUGCCCAGUCGAGGGGGAUAAGCACAGUUGGAAACGACUGCUAAUACCGCAUACGCCCUACGGGGGAAAGCAGGGGACCUUCGGGCCUUGCGCGAUUGGAUAUGCCCAGGUGGGCCUAUUAGCUAGUUGGUGAGGUAAUGGCUCACCAAGGCGACGAUCCCUAGCUGGUCUGAGAGGAUGAUCAGCCACACUGGAACUGAGACACGGUUUCCCAGACUCCUACGGGAGGCAGCAGUGGGGAAUAUUGCACAAUGGGGGAAACCCUGAUGCAGCCAUGCCGCGUGUGUGAAGAAGGCCUUCGGCGAGUUGUAAAGCACUUUCAGCGAGGAGGAAAGGUCAGCAGCUAAUAUCUGCUGGCUGUGACGUUACUCGCAGAAGAAGCACCGGCUAACUUCGUCCUGCCAGCAGCCGCGGUAAUACGAAGGUCCCAAGCGUUGUUCGGAAUCACUGGGCGUAAAGGGAGCGUAGGCGGCGUGGUAAAUCAGAUGUGUUUAAAUCCCGGGGCUCAACCCCGGAACUGCAUCCGAUACUGCCAUGCUAGAGGAUUGGAGAGGUAGCUGGAAUUCUUGGUGUAGCAGUGAAAUCCGGCGUAGAGAUCAAGAGGAACACUCGUGGCGAAAGCGAGCUACUGGACAAUUCCUGACGCUGAGGCUCGAAGGCUAGGGUAGCGAAAGGGAUUCGUAGAUACCCCUGUAGUCCUAGCAGUAAACGGUGCACGCUUGGUGUGAGGGGAAUCGACCCCCCUUGUGCCGGAGCUAACGCGUUAAGCGUGGAUCCGCCUGGGAAGUACGGUCGCAAGACUAAAACUCAAAGGAAUUGACGGGGGCCCGCACAAGCGGUGGAGCAUGUGGCUUAAUUCGAUGCAAUGGCGCGAAGAACCUUACCCGGAUUUGACAUGGAAGUGGUAGAAGCCUGAAAGGGUGACGACCCCGCAAGGGGAGCUUUCACAGGUGCUGCAUGCCUGCUGUCGUCAGCUCGUGUCGUGAGAUGUUCGGUUAAGUCCGGCAACGAGCGCAACCCACGCCUCUAGUUACCGGCGGGUAAAGCCGGGGACUUCUCUAGAGGGACAAACCCGUUAAGGGUGGGAAGGUGUGGAUGACGUCAAGUCAGUAUGGCCCUUACAUCCGGGGCUGCACACGCGCUACAAUUGGGCCUGGUACAAAGCGAGCCGACCCCGCGAGGGUGAGGAAACCGCUAAAGCCAGGCCCAGUUCAGAUUGGAGUCUGCAACUCGACUCCAUGAGUAAGCCGGAAUCGCUAGUAAUGGUGUAUCAGCUACGACACCGUGAAUACGUUCCCGGGCCUUGUACACACCGCCCGUCACAUCAUGAAAGCCGAAGCUUCCGCCCGAAGUAUCCGACUCAACCGCAAGGAGAGAGGGUCCUAAGGCAGGGGUGGUGAUUGGGAUG